CACAGUUGUGAACGUGCUGACAGCUGGUUGCCCAGGCUAUGGAUUAAAGGUAAUACUGUUGGCCAGCAGAGCCCUGCUCACCCUGACGGCCCACCGCUGCUGUCAGACAACAUCUCCAAGAUGCUAUAAACUGCAGGACCAGAUGGCCAUCCCAAGGUUUCUAGAGAUUACAGCGGCUCCAGACUGAAUCCAAACUCACUUUUGAAGACUUCAGAUGACACCAACGCUCACAAAGACUACAGACGACAACUGUACAUGAACACACAAAACAUUAGACACACACAAAACAAAUAUUAUCCUUAUUUUGCCUAUAAGGGUAAAUUUGAUGAUUUUCAAACUGCUUUAUUGUAACGUCUCUUAUAUCUGAAAAUGAACAAUAUUUACUCUC